AUCUUCGUAAACAUGUCGUCUGCUCUCGAUGGUUUUAAAAUCAAAAUGUUUUCAUCUCAAAAUAUCGGAAUCCUUGCUGUGUAUCUUACAUCAUUUCAUCAGACACGGUUCAAGUCAUCACCAACCAUCAGCACAUCACAAGGAGCCCUCAGCAGAUGACAGUUUUAACUAUACGCUCCACCUCUUGAAAUUACCACAAAUACUGGAAUCCUUGAAGUAACCUCGCUGUGUAUCGUACAUCAUUUCAUCAGACACGGUUUAAGUCAUCACCAACCAUCAGCACAUCACAAGGAACCCUCAGCAGAUGACAGUUUUAAUUACACUCUCCACCUCAGGAAAUUACCACAAAUACUGGUUCAUUAAGAUGAUGAGGAGCAGCAGUUUCCUCACAGGAGAUGCACAAGGGCUUUGAUGAGAACACUUAGAUUGCAGCU